AUACGAAAGGUGCAAGCGUUGUUCGGAUUUACUGGGCGUAAAGAGAGUGUAGAUUGUUUAUUAAGUCGGAUGUGAAAUCCCGGGGCUCAACCUCGGAACUGCAUUCGAUACUGAUAGGCUAGAGUUUGGGAGGGGUAAGCGGAAUUCCGUGUGUAGCAGUGAAAUGCGUAGAUAUACGGAGGAACACCUGAGGCGAAGGCGGCUUACUGGACCAAUACUGACACUGAGACUCGAAAGCGUGGGUAGCAAACAGGAUUAGAAACCCCAGUAGUCC
rnacentral:rRNA from 1 species